rnacentral:rRNA from 1 species
GCUUGUCUCAAAGAUUAAGCCAUGCAUGUCUAAGUAUAAGCAAUUAUACAGCGAAACUUGCGAAUGGCUCAUUUAUAUAAGUUAUCGUUUAUUUGAUAGUACCUUACUACUUGGAUAACCGUGGUAAUUCUAGAGCUAAUACAUGCUAAAAAUCCCGACUUCGGAAGGGAUGUAUUUAUUAGAUUAAAAACCAAUGCCCUCUGGGCUCCUUGGUGAUUCAUAAUAACUUUUCGAAUCGCAUGGCCUUGCGCCGGCGAUGGUUCAUUCAAAUUUCUUCCCUAUCAACUUUCGAUGUUUGGGUAUUGGCCAAACAUGGUCGCAACGGGUAACGGAGGGUUAGGGCUCGACCCCGGAGAAGGAGCCUGAGAAACGGCUACUACAUCCAAGGAAGGCAGCAGGCGCGCAAAUUACCCAAUCCCGAUUCGGGGAGGUAGUGACAAUAAAUACUGAUACAGGGCUCUUUUGGGUCUUGUAAUUGGAAUGAGUACAAAUUUAAAUCUCUUAACGAGGAACAAUUGGAGGGCAA